AUAGAAGCAGAACUGAGUGCUAUGUGUGGAGGGACAGUAACUGUGUGUAUGCGGUUUGAAGUGUCUGUGUGGUGCAGCUGGCCUGGUCUGUCUCUAUACAGUCGAGGCUGCACCCACCUAUAAAAAGGUGGAGGCUCACCAAGACAUGCACACCUCACAAGUUCCUGGCUCUCUCGGCUCGGUUGAAGACGGGUUUCUUCGAGAAGGGGAGGGCAGUGAGGCACAGUCCCCCGCCCCCCGACGCCCCUCGCGAUGCCCCUCCUUCUUCGACUAACCCGCUGCAGAGGAGCCGUGGGAGCCAGGAACUUGUGAGUUUUGUAUGUCCACUCAGGCAUCAUUCAUACCUGGUCUGUAGGAAGUUCCUGUCAGAAGG
ensembl:lncRNA